rnacentral:rRNA from 1 species
UACGUAGGGUGCAAGCGUUGUCCGGAAUUAUUGGGCGUAAAGAGCUCGUAGGCGGUUUGUCGCGUCGGCUGUGAAAACCCGAGGCUCAACCUCGGGCCUGCAGUCGAUACGGGCAAACUAGAGUACUGCAGGGGAGACUGGAAUUCCUGGUGUAGCGGUGAAAUGCGCAGAUAUCAGGAAGAACACCCGUGGCGAAGGCGGCUCUCUGGGACGGUACUGACGCUGAGACGCGAAAGCGUGGGGAGCGAACAGG